AGAGUGAGACUCCAUCUCAAAAAACAAAACAAAACAAAACAAAAAAAUCCAGGAUGUUUGGUGCCGCUGUGCCUUUGCCCUUCCUCCAAGUAUUCCACCUGCCUAGAAUGUCACCCUGCAAGCCACUCGCCCCAGGCCUGGGUUCCCUGCCUAACCCCUGCCUACCUUAUCUUUCUAGAGACAACUCAGGCUCACCUCUUCCUGGAUGCUUUUCUCAAGCCCCUAUUCCUGGGUGGACCUGGCCAUGCCUCCUCUGAACUCCAGUGUCUCUGUACACGCCUCUCCCGCAGCACAGGGAGGAGUUUCAUCUUCCCCUUCUGAUCCUUGGUGGCCAUGAUAAUGUCUUAUUUGUGCCUUUGUGUGUAUAGUGACCAGCAGAGGGGCACCCAGUCAAAUGCCUGUGAAAUGUUGUUAUUGAAUGAAUUACCCAGUAACUUUAGUUCUCAUGGAGGAAAAGGGAAACAGAACAGAAUGGCAAACCCAAAGUCUGAAGGAGAAAACCCACAAAUACUGCAAUAUGACCUAUGCAAUGGAGAACCAUUUUUUUCCCUGCUGCUUGGUAAUGGCCUCUUAUUUUUCCUUUGGGAAACCAGCCUCGCACCCUUGCAUGGAGUAUUGCUAGGCUCUCAGGAGUGGGUCAACCAAACCUCUGGAAACUUCAAUGAAGUUUUGGUCCUUGUAAGCAAGGACCAAAAAUGGUUUCUUCUGUAUGGAAUCUCAAGACUAUGUGAAUUCCUGUCCUUUCUGAAACAGGUCAGAUUUUUUUUCUAUUUUGUGGACACUUAAAUCCCUCUAAUAAAUUAUAUUUCUCCCUUCCGUGGUCUGGGAUGUAUUUCUCUGGCUUGCACUUAAAGGACCUUUACAGAUAAAACUGUGAAAGUCAUCACAAUCUUGAUUUCUGCUCCCAGUCCCGCCCCAGCUGCUGCCUUCCCAGAAGUCAUCCUUCAGGUGUGGUUCUGUCUCAGUCAGCCCCAGUGACUUGCCUGCGGCUGACUUCUGUGAAUUCAGGCUUCCAUUGUCUACCUGGCUAUGACUGUCAUAGGGAAGCUGUUAGGGCAGCAGAGGUGCUGAUCAUUUAGUGACAGGUGCAAUCGUUACUACUUCUUUCUAGCAUGGGUGUUGUCUGACUUGGUGGGAGUGAGCAGGAAGGGAAGAUGGUGGUGUUGGGGUUGGAACUACAGAAUGGAUGAAGUGAGAGGAGGGCAGAGGAGUCACAAGGAAGGACAAAGUAGUCAAAGUAUAAAAACAUCUCAACUACCAUUUGGGGCCAAGGUUGAGUCUCUUAUGGAUUUUGCUUGGAGGACACUUUGGCCAGCUGUUUUUAUGUUACCAGAAGUGGGAAGAUUAAUACAUGGGUAUUGGUCCAGAUGGAAACAGGGCAUAUCUGGCUUCUGCAUACUUAUCUUCCAAAAGCUCAUUUAUAAAGCAGUUGUGUGGAACUCGGUAUGUGUGUUCUCAUGGAAGCAAAGUAAUAAAGGGUGGCCAUAAAAGCUCAAGUUAAGCCGGAUCACAGCCGGGCCACUCCACAUGCGGAGGCUCCAUCUACCACGGUGAGGAGAGCUGGCCUGGAGAUAGAGCUGAUGCUGGACAAGCCGGGCUUAGUGAUGGAGGGAGGAGACUGAGGCAUCAUUUGAGCCCCUGAAUCUGUCUGUGCCUGCAGCACCUCUUACAAAGUUCCUGGUGAUGCAGUCCCAGCCUCAGUAGACUCUCUUGUCCAAAAUCUUCCUUGCACAACCACCACAAGCACCACAAACUACUCCUCUUUCCCUCUUUAGAAUCCCAAUGUCACAUAUUGCCUGUGGCUCUCAACUCAAAUCUUAAAAUGGACAGAGUUAAGUACCUUGCCCUUCUCAAUCAGAUGCCACCAGAAAGGAAAAAUGAAUGAAAUGCAGUCACCAUCCUUAGCUCAAAGCCUGGUGAGAGGGAUAGAACAAAUACAACUGAUUGAUGAAGCACAGAGAGGAAAAGCAACUUGGCCAAAGACACACGGCUCAUUAUCAUGGGGUUUGAGUUCAAACCCAGACAGUCUGAUUCCAGAGCCUGGCAAAUUUGACUGCUGCUCAUAUUAUCUCUCUUUCAACUGUGAAAGAUGUAUUCAUAGGCAUUUUUCUCAAGUUUUUAUUUGAAAAGGCUUUGCCCAAUGGCCCACAAAGACCUGGGGUGAAGGCAGGAGCUGGAAUGGGUUUGUCCUUACCCAAAUUUAUCCUUCACUGGCCUGAUGCUGCAUGGUGGUUCCUGGGGAUAACUGUUCCUCUGGUCCAAAGUAUCACAAUCUAAACAGAUUUGCAGAUGUUCAGCUUCCGUUUUGCCUUUAUCAAGUUCAACUGACAGUCCAGUGGGACUGGUUGCAUUUGUGCCAUGCACUCCAGCCCUCUCCCUCCCACUCCCCACCCCAGCAUGUUUCCCUGAGGAACUGGGAGAAGCUGCAGCUGUUGCCUCUGGUUUCCUUCAGCUCCUGCCACAGCAGCAGUUCUUCAAAAUUUCAUUACUUGUCUAUAUUUUCAGUAAAGUCACUCAACACUCACCGUUGUCCUGCUUUCCCCAGAGCAUGUCACCUUCAGUCUUCAAGCACCAGAUAAUUAAGUUGCUAGCAAGGUGCUGCAGAGAGGGAAGCCAUGCUGGAAAUCCCAGGCUGGCAGAAACCUGGAGUGGAACUCUCUUCUUAGGACUUCAUUUCCAUGGCCAGAAGGAAAGCAGCCUUCCCUAAAUUGCACCUGCCUCAAAGCUCUAUUGCCUUGACCUCAAUUAAAAAAGAAAUUACGACAACAUCCUUUAAAGAAUGCCACUAACAGCCUCUUGGCCUUCUACGGGAUACAGCAGCCAAUUUGCUGGUCUGUCUCUAUAGAAAUUGUUUCUCCACUGUGUGGAGAAAAUAAAAUCCAAGAUGGAGAUGGUUAUGUAAGAGGUAUCUAAAUGGGAUCUGCGGGGCAUAAGGAGUUGGAUCCCAGUCAUGUGCACACCCAGAUGAAAUCUGACUUGUUGAACUGGGCCAAAUUGUAACACCAACUGCAUUUGACUUGUACUGUUUAUACUGGGCCUGAUCACCAGCUUCCUGGAAAGACAGCUAGGCCAAACAAGACUGAAAGACAUCCUAAGCUGUUAACCAGCCAUCAUCAAUCAUGCACUAUAUGAAAACCUUCCAGAAUGUUACACAACUCAGAAUCAUCAAGAAGAAAAACCAAAACUGAACUUGGAGUAAGGGCAGACAUUGGCUGAGUAUCCUCGACAUUAUAUUUCUGGCUUUGACACAAGGACGUGACCAGUGUGAUUUGGCAAGGAUGCCAUACACUGUGGCCUACACCUCAGUUUCCUGUACAGAGCCCAGCUCCCCGAGGACUGCAAACCCCGAGGACAGCUGAUGAUCUCAUUCUUGGUGUGGCGAACAUCCUUGCUAUUCUCAUUAUGGAAGCAACCUCACCAGCAGUAGGGUGGCUCUGACAUCUGCGAUUAAACUGCUACUGAAUCAGGAAAAAAGGAAGCAGGACAGAGGAAGGCAACGACUGGAAAGUUCUACUUCGGGACAACAUCUCUGAAUUAUUCACAUACAUUAAUGGAAACGAAUCAUUCUGACUCAUUAAUCAAUGCUGAAAUGAACGAUAAGCAACCGAGGAUGACCUAAAACAUUUAUAUUUGGCUUAUAUCAUGUUAGAACUUCUAAUUUAACAGAGAUGUUUCAUGCCCUGGAAGUUCAUACUGCUGCUGGGAAAUCACAAAGCUACGUUGGGAGCGUGUGACAUCCUCUUUCCCAACUCUUCUCACUGAGCAUCUCCCUGGAGGAGGCCAAAGUCAUCUCUCAGACUAAGCUCAGAGCUCAGUGAAGCUGUAGGGACAUUGGCAACAACUGCAGCAUCAUAGGCAUGGCUUGAAUGAGAGCUGUGAUUGUUAGUGAUGUCCAGGUAUGUGUCUGCCAUCUCAGAGUGACCCUGAGAAAGGCAUUCAUUUGGAAGCUUUUCUCCCCGCACUCUAUUCUAAGUGACCCAUUGCUCAGUGCCUAUUGCCCAGUGGACAUUAUGAAGUCCUGGAGGCUGCCAGUCUCCUCACUGUGACUGGAGUCAUGGCUCCAGGCUCUGCCGGCUUCAUGCACCUGGGGAGAGUGACCAGCAGCACUGCCCAGAGUCCCGUGCUGGCCCUGCAGGAACAAAGGCCUUGCAGGAUACGCAGUCGUCGUGACAUGCUGAUGGCAGAUUAUGUGCUAUUUGCACUUUUUUUUCUCUCUCUUUCAUGUAGGGAUGCCCAGGUUGGUCGGGACAUUUCUGAUGCUCCACCUCCAUCCCUCAGUGCUCGCUAGUCUGGGCCUGCAAGCAGUGUUAUUGAACAAAACUGGGGUUCGCUAACCCAGCGCAGUUAAAUCCAAACAUCCACACUGAGGUUUGCAAUGGGAGAAAGGAGAGCAUUUAUUGGCAAGGCGCCAAGCAAGGAGAAUUAGGCAGCUCCCAUUUAAGAUCUGACCUCCCCUGUGACUUGGAAGUAAGGGUAUUUAAAGGCAGAGGGAAAUUUCAGGAAAGCAGAAGUUACAGGCAAAGUCAUAAAUCAAUACAUGGAGGUUGUACUUCAGUUUGACCGAAAAAGGUGGGGUAUCUUGAAGUGGGAGCUUAUAGGUCAUAGGUAGAUUCAAAGAUUUUUUGAUUUUCAAUUGGUUAAGGAGGCAAAGCUUUGUCUAGACAUGCGAGGUCAGCGGAAAAGAAUGUAAGCUCUGGCCUGUGGCGUGACCUCCUCCAGGCCCCUCAGGAAGAAAUCUAGAACAAAGAGCAGUGGUUCCAGUUCAG